CCAAAAUUUUAGGGUAAGAUUUGUGAAGAAAGAGCUCUUAUAUAAAAGUUUUUAUGCUUAUAUUUAAGUUUUUUUUCACAAAUUUUAAGCUAAGAUUUGG
rnacentral:pre_miRNA from 1 species